rnacentral:rRNA from 1 species
AAACUUUACAAUGCUGGAAACAGCGAUAGGGGGACUUUGAGUGCCAGGAUACAAUCUUGGCUGUCGUCGUGCCUAAAAAGCACGGCAUAGCAAGGGCCGGGCAAGACCGGUGCCAGCCGCCGCGGUAACACCGGCGGCUCGAGUGGUAACCGCUAUUAUUGGGUCUAAAGGGUCUGUAGCCGGCUGGAUAAGUCUCUUGGGAAAUCCGAUAGCUCAACUAUCGGGCUUUCAGGAGAUACUGUCCGGCUCGAGACCGGGAGAGGUGAGAGGUACUUCAUGGGUAGGGGUGAAAUCUUGUAAUCCUUGAAGGACCACCAGUGGCGAAGGCGUCUCACCAGAACGGAUCUGACGGCAAGGGACGAAAGCUAGGGGCACGAACCGG